UCACACACACUGCAGGUCACACACACUGCGUGUCACAUUGCAGGUCACACAGAUUUAAGGUGAGUCAUUCUGGCACCCUCUGCAGGCUGCACGACAGCCUCUCCUUGAGGAUAAAUACAAUGCCUUUAUCUGUACACUCAGCUGUUAAUGCUGCAAAGGAUGUACAAUGUGUUUCAGAGUGUUGCAUCGCUACUGUCACUAGAACAAGCAGCUCAAGCAGGCUCUCAAGCAGGAGAAGAAAGAAACCAUUAAGUUUACAUUACUGGUUCCUACCCAGGUUUCUGAGCAGGGGUGGUUGCCUGCUGGAACAAGCCACCAAGGGGAGCAGGGCACCCCCCGGUCCCUGCUGUCCCUAGAGGGAGGUUGGCUACUGCUCUGCCAGGGAUGCUUUUGACAGGCAAAGUUGAUGUACUCGGUGCAAGUGCAACCGGCUGAACAGCAGUGGGAGCCCACCAUGUGCAGGGGGCCAGUGGAGACGAUCAGAGCAUCUCAGCCACCCUUAACAGUUGUGGCAUGAUCUUAAGGUGUUGCUGUUAAAGCAAGUUCUGAAUAGUCACUGGUUGUGGAAUCAUAGACUGGUUUGGGUUGGAAAGAACCUCAUGGCUGCAGGCGGUGGAGAGGGGGAGCUCUCACAUCACUGACUUGAAGCCAUUGACUUCCCAGCACAGUCAUGCUUUUGGCCUUAGAAUAACUGCAAAGAUUUAAACCAAA